CCUAAUUUUUUGCCUCACUCUCCUUCUAUUCGGCGUCUUCAAACUCCUUCUUCAAUAUCUUUCUUCUUCGAUCUCUCUUCCUCUUUGCGCAAUCUCUGCUUCUCUGCGAUCCUCCUCUUUGUAUGUCGCCCAGAUUCGUCCAUAGAAGCCGAUGAAUCGUUGUCUGUGCUGGAAGGUCACUUCGUUACCAGUUCAGAUCCCUAUUUUUUUCCAUAUUCGAUUGAUAUUGCGAAGAAGAUGAAGGUACAAAUUCCAAUUUAAAACUCGAAUCCCUAAAUCCAAGUCAUGACUCGUUCUAUUCCUUGAGGAUAAGUUCAUCACAUAUUAAAGGCUAUGUGAAGACAUGUGAUGAUGAGAUUACUGAAACUUCAGUUGUGCUUCAUUCUUUUAAGGUAAGAAGUUACAAGGAUAUAGAUUGAAGAGGACUGUGGUGACUGGUGAAGCAAGGAGCAAUGGUUGGAUCUAAUAAAGUUCCUUUGAAUUAGACGUCACAAGCCGGAUUUGUGCAUCGUGUAAGAGAGAAGAUAUGUAACAGUGACUUUUCUUGUUGUGGGUGAUUUUGCAGAUACCCAAAUUGUCAAUUUUGAACAAAGUUUUGACCCCUAUUAAGGAUAUCAUGUACCCACACAACAAUUUUUUCUACUUUUGACCUUGGCUUUGUUUCUCAUCUAUUUUUGAUAUGUAAACUACACAUCUAGCUUCUGAAUUAAUACUUUUGGUCUUACUAA